rnacentral:rRNA from 1 species
UACAGAGGGUGCAAGCGUUGUUCGGAAUUAUUGGGCGUAAAGGGCGCGUAGGCGGCGCGGGAAGUCAACGGUGAAAGUUCGGGGCUCAACCCUGAAUCGGCCGUCGAUACUCCCGGGCUCGAGCACUGUAGAGGCAGAUGGAAUUCCGGGGUGUAGCGGUGAAAUGCGUAGAUAUCGGGGGGGAACACCUGUGGCGAAAGCGGCGCACUGGACCAUAACUGACGCUGAUGCGCGAAAGCUAGGGGAGCAAACAGG